GAUGAACGCUGGCGGCGUGCCUAAUACAUGCAAGUCGAGCGGACGGACGAGAAGCUUGCUGCGCUGUUGUUAGCGGCGGGCGUGUGAGUAACACGUGGAUAACCUACCUAUAAUACUGGGAUAACUGCGGGACACCGGAGCUAAUACCGGAGGAUAUUGUGAUCCGCAUGGUUCAGGAGUGAAAGACGGUCUUGCUGUCACUUAUAGCUGGAUCCGCGCUGUAUUAGCUAGUGGGUAAGGUAACGGCCUACCGAGGCAACGAUGCAUAGCCGAACUGAGAGGGUGAUCGGCCACCUUGGAACUGAGACACGGUCCAGACUCCUACGGGAGGGAGCAGUAGGGAACCUUACGCAAUGGGCGAAAGUCUUACGGAGCAACGGCGCGCGAGAGAUGAAGGUCUUCGGAUCGUAAAACUCUGUUACUAGGGAAGAACACAUGUGGAAGUAACUGUGCACAUCUUGACGGUACCUAAUCAGAAAGCCACGGCUAACUACGUG
rnacentral:rRNA from 1 species